CAAAUCGCUCCUUGGGCGCCAUUUUGUAGUCCGCUGUCCUUUCUAUAAUAUGUCCUUGCAGCAGACCAAUCGUUUAGCAAUUUUGGGCAGAGAUUUGAGCAGCGUUCAGCCAAUGGUUGAGAAAUGUUGAGCAGAGUUGAGCAGCGUUCAGCCAAUGGUUGAGAAAUUUUGGGCAGAGAUCAUCGCCCAACAGACCAAUCAUUGAGCGAGGAUCGGUAUACGUCAGCUAAUUUCUUCGCGACUCAUAAAUAUAUUCACGAUCAAGCCGGCCAUUGCCACUAGUUCGGUGAAGCGGUCAACGGAGGAUUCACUCAGGUACAAGGAGGAACAUUAUUUUGGAGGACCCGCCGACAAUCAAUCUCUAAUCAGAGGAGACUCUGUCGGCCUGUGACUCCAGGGUGACUAUGGAGCACGGCACCCGCCAUGGAACUCAUGAAAGCCCCGUACUUGGCUUGGCUCUGCUUGAUCACAGAGGCGUCCCAGCGGUGCAGCCAGUGGCGGAUGUCCAGCCUGAUGACAGUACCCCUCUUCACCCAGUCACCAAACAGGUUUCAACUGCUAUUGAACUCACCGACAGCAGUUGGUGUCCACGUACAACACCUUCGGAGCAGGAGCGGCGAAAGCGGGCGACUGAUCUCUGGCCAUGCGUGCGUAGCACUCCUCCGACUCAGACGCAACCACCACCGUGGUCAAGAACUGACCCAAUUUAUUCAGCACGCUGGUCAGGUACGGCAUGGUGCCCUGGCCGUCGCCGUAGACCUUCUUGAGAAGCUAUAAAAACAAAGCAGAACAUUCAUUGUGUGGAGUGAUCAUAUGGAACAGACUGUUGAUAAACAAGUACUCUAUGCUGUACAUACCUUCCUCGUGCCGUCGAUGCACAAGAUCUCCCCAGCGGUGCUGAGGAUCUGGUCCCUGUACAGGGGCAUCUUCUCCAUCUCCAGGAUCUGGUGCGCGCGCCUCAGGACCCGAGCAGACGGAAGACGAGACGGGGCGAUGGGAGGGUGUGUAAGUGCCAGCCGCUCUGGCAAAAGAAAGGAUGCCUCGCUGAGAGGAAGAGGAUCCAGCCGCCGACGUGUGGGCGUCGUACAGUAGGGUCUGGUACAGGUCCCGACGCUCCACGUACCACUCGUCGUGGCCCUGCUGCAGCAGCCUCUGCACCUUGGCCAUGGACACCGCGUUGAGUCGGUCACUCAUCAGGGUGAUCACACUCCUGUCCAAAGGCAUGCUUGCCACAGAGAAUGGCAGGGAACAUCCUUCUGACUUCCGGGGCGAGACUCAUCAGCAAUUAGUACUGCUGCUGCUGCUUCUGGGCGUCGUCGGCCUCAUCGUUGUCGCUGUCGUCUGCGUGCGCCUGGCUCAGCCCCUCCGUCAACUUGCGACAGUGCUUGCACAUCAACAUCUCGGUCAGUAGGGUGUAGUGGAAGUUGGGGCUGCACACUUGCCUGGCGAAGCUGCCGUACCCUUUCUUCUCCAGGUAGUACUCUGGCGGUGCGGGGCAGUUUGUGUUGUGGCAGCGGAUCAAUGCCUUCAUCACGCCGACCGGGCGCCAGAAGAAGGCAGAGGUGGUGAAGAAAGAGAGCAUGUUUGGCACAGCUCCCUUGACGGCCAUAGGAGGAGGGGGCGGAUGGAACUUCUCCUUCAACACCUUCCUCUCGGCCAUCACACCCCUCUGCUUCUUAUAACUGGACGCCCUCUCGAACAGCCCGUAGGUCUCGUUGGUCUUCAGCCACUUGAUGUUCGCAGGGGAUAUACCAGUGGCUUGGGCGGAUUCAGGCGGCUGCUCCCAGAACUUCUGCCAGCCCUCCACCUUGAAGGCACCGGGUUCCGAGGUCUCUCGGAGGGACGAGGGUCCGGCGGGCCUGUCGUCCUGGCACACAGAGCUGGCUAGGUCUCCCCAGGUGGUCAGCUGUGUGGUGACCGACGCUUCGGACUCAUCCAGGACACUCUGAAGAGGACAACACCACAAAAAUGUAUCAACUGCAUUACUAUACCUGCAGCAGCCAACAACUCUGCAUCGCUGGCGUAGUUGAGGUCCUGCUGAGAGAGGUUGGGGACGGUCGGAGGAGCCCGGUCUUUCAUCGAAUGCGCUUUCUGCAGAAAAUAAAACGCAACCAUGGAAUAACCUCAUAAAAUAAGACUUUUACUAAUACUGGAACAGCAUUCACACCAGCCAGCCGACAUCAUUCUCCACAAGCCACCUGAAGGUCUGACCGGCGUACUUCCCGAACGUGAUGACCAGCUGACCUUUCCACAGCUCACCCCCCGACCUCUUGGCAGCCGCCUCUGCUGUCUUGAGAUCUAGCCAUUUAGAGUCAACAACAGUGCUGCUACAGACCUUGCUGCCUCUGUACAGUACAGCCUGGCCUCUCCUUGCCGGUACAAAAUGAUGUUGGGGUACUGGUGUAGCUGUUGAAGCUGGACGCCCUCUCGAACAGCCCGUAGGUCUCGUUGGUCUUCAGCCACUUGAUGUUCGCAGGGGAUAUACCAGUGGAUUGGGCGGAUUCAGGCGGCUGCUUCUUGAUGGCUGACCAGUGAUGGUUUAGUGGCCAUUGGCCAAGCUCUUCCCGCAGACAUCACAGAAAUUGAGCCGCGGUCUCCAGUGGGUUCGGCAGAGUACGCUCCACUGCACCACUGAGGCGAUGAAAAUUCACAAUGAUCAAUCAUCAAUAAAGAGGAUAUACAUGACAUUAAAAUGUAUGUGUGUUUUUCUAUUAUUUCCCAAUUUUUUUUUCAUGAC
ensembl:lncRNA